rnacentral:rRNA from 1 species
AGACGUCUACAUUAGAUACCCGGGUAGUCCCAGCCGUAAACUAUGCGCGUUAGGUGUAUCGGUGACCACGAGUUACCGAGGUGCCGAAGGGAAACCGUGAAACGUGCCGCCUGGGAAGUACGGUCGCAAGGCUGAAACUUAAGGAAUUGGCGGGGAGCACCACAACAGGUGGAGCCUGCGGUUUAAUUGGACUCAACGCCGGGAAGCUCACCGGAUAGGACAGCAGAAUGAUUGCCGGGCUGAAGACCCUGCAUGACUAGCUG